rnacentral:rRNA from 1 species
AACGAACGCUGGCGGCAUGCCUAACACAUGCAAGUCGAACGAGACCUUCGGGUCUAGUGGCGCACGGGUGCGUACCACGUGGGAACCUACCCUUAGGUUCGGAAUACCUCCCCGAAAGGGGUCCUAAUACCGGAUAAUGUCUUCGGGCCAAAGAUUUAUCGCUUUUGGGUGGGGCCGCGUUGGAUUCGCUAGUUGGUAGGGUAAAAGCCUGUCAAGGCGACGAUGCAUGGCUGGUCGGAGAGGAUGAUCAGCCACGCUGGAAAUGAGACACGGCCCAGACUCCUACGCGAGGCAGCAGUAUGGAAUAUUAGACGAGGGGCGAAAGCCUGAUCCAGCAAUGCCGCGGGAGUGAUGAAGGCCGUAGUGUUGUAAAGCUCUUUUACCCGAGAUGAUAAUGACAGUACCGGGAGAAUAAGCUCCGGCUAACUCCGUG